rnacentral:misc_RNA from 1 species
AUCUUUUUUGGUUGUUUUUGUGGCGGGUAUAAUUAUGGGCUUGGCAACAAGUUCUCACAUCAGUCAGUACUUCACUUCACAAGCUCGGUUAUUCUUCACUAACAACAUAGCAGCAACAAAAAUCCCAGGUGGUAAUUGCACGAUUUUGAGACCUUGCAAGACAGUUGAUUGUUUGAGUAUGGAGGCUUUUCUUCAUCCCAAGAACUUGACUCAUAGUAUGACUGAUAAGCAGCUUUUUUGGAGGGCUUCUUUGA